rnacentral:sRNA from 1 species
UCAGUUCAGUGCUUUGCUGCUGGCAUUCGCCUCUGUAUUCUGGCUGUGUCUCUCAGGAGAGAUCUACAUCCGUAUGCCCAGAUUUUCUGAUUAUCUCUAUGACAUCUCUUUAGCCGUCCCCCAAAAGGAGCAUUUCUUUCCAGGAAAGAAGACAAUUGAGGGGACACACUAUAGCCACCGUCUCCCAGAAUGCACACCCUACAGCAGAAGUUGCUUUAGUAUUUCCAGCCUGUAAAUACUGCCUUCAGUCAUACAGGGCCCUGCAGAAAAAUGGAUGGAAUGUUCUUCCAGUGAGUGACACAGCAUGACCUAAGAGUGAAGUCAUCGGCACUGGUGAACACUUAGCCAUCAGCAAAAGGAACUGUAAGAGGAACAUCUUGCCCUGGGGUUUGCUUUGGUGUGCGUGGUUGUACCCCCCUACCCCAUGGCCUUUUUGGGUGUCUGCUCAGGGUCAUCUCCCCUUGAAGUGAGAGUACCCCGACGUGUCAGAAUUAAACUCCUCUUGCUUUUACAUCAAUCACUGUCUCCAUGAGUCUCAUUCAAGAGGUCCUGGAAGAGGUUCAAUUCAGACCUCACAGUACCAGGGAUCAGACCUAGGGCCUUUUACAUUCUGAGCAAAGCCUUUCCCCCUGAGCUGUGCCCUAACCCUCACCCAACACUUGCCCUUGAACCAUAGCAAAGGAAAACUUGGAUUCCAAUUAACAAUCAAUAAUGAAAUGCCCUGCCUUACAGCCCCAGCCCCAAAUGAGUGACUCUUGCUUUUAAAGGAAGCUUUUUCUGUGCACUGUAAUAACUGACCCAUUGUGACACACAUCACUCCCUAGCCACUGAGGGGGCAACUGUGGCCUGGCACACCAGAUAAAGGACUGGCUUUGAAAUUGAGUAAGAGCCCAAAUGCCAGAUCUACAAGUAACUUUGAGAUCGCAGACAUUUCACCUCCCAGUUUCCGCUUCCUUACCAGAAGGACAGCAGCCCUUCUCAUACAGUAGUGACAGAGGGCUUGAUGAUCUCCAGAUGGGCAGCUGCAUCCUAACAGGACAUUCAUCUGACGGCUCCCCAAAGGAGGAACCAGUCAUUUGGACACUAGAUUUGCCCAAGGGUAGCGCCCCUUCGGGAC